rnacentral:rRNA from 1 species
CGUUGUUCGGAAUCACUGGGCUUAAAGGGCGCGUAGGCGGCGGGGCAAGUCUGUGGUGAAAUCCUCCGGCUCAACCGGAGAACUGCCAUGGAUACUGGGUGGCUCGAGGGUGGUAGGGGUAUGCGGAACUAUCGGUGGAGCGGUGAAAUGCGUUGAUAUCGAUAGGAACUCCGGUGGCGAAGGCGGCAUACUGGACCACUUCUGACGCUGAGGCGCGAAAGCCAGGGGAGCGAACGGG